UACGGAGGGUGCAAGCGUUGUCCGGAAUCACUGGGCGUAAAGGGCGCGUAGGCGGCUCAUGAAGGCUGUGGUGAAAGUCCGGGGCUCAACCUCGGAUCGGCCGUGGCGACUCGUGGGCUGGAGCACUGUAGAGGUGAGUGGAAUUCCGAGUGUAGAGGUGAAAAUUCGUAGAUAUUCGGAGGAACACCAGUGGCGAAGGCGGCUCACUGGUCCAUUACUGACGCUGAGGUGCGAAAGCGUGGGGAGCAAACAGGG
rnacentral:rRNA from 1 species